rnacentral:rRNA from 1 species
CGGGUGCACUGAUCCAGCCGGGCCUUUCCCUCUGUGGAACCCCAUGGCCUUCACUGGCUGUGGUGGGGAAACAGGACUUUUACUUUGAAAAAAUUAGAGUGCUCCAGGCAGGCCUAUGCUCGAAUACAUUAGCAUGGAAUAAUAGAAUAGGACGUGUGGUUCUAUUUUGUUGGUUUCUAGGACCGCCGUAAUGAUUAAUAGGGACAGUCGGGGGCAUCAGUAUUCAAUUGUCAGAGGUGAAAUUCUUGGAUCUAUUGAAGACUAACUACUGCGAAAGCAUUUGCCAAGGAUGUUUUCAUUGAUAAGGAACGAAAGUUAGGGGAUCGAAGACGAUCAGAUACCGUCGUAGUCUUAACUAUAAACUAUGCCGACUAGGGAUCGGACGAUGUUAUUCUUUGACGCGUUCGGCACCUUUCGAGAAAUCAAAGUGCUUGGGCUCCAGGGGGAGUAUGGUCGCAAGGCUGAAACUUAAAGAAAUUGACGGAAGGGCACCACCAGGGGUGGAACCUGCGGCUUAAUUUGACUCAACACGGGGAAACUCACCAGGUCCAGACACAGUGAGGAUUGACAGAUUGAGAGCUCUUUCUUGAUUCUGUGGGUGGUGGUGCAUGGCCGUUCUUAGUUGGUGGAGUGAUUUGUCUGCUUAAUUGCGAUAACGAACGAGACCUUAACCUGCUAAAUAGCCCGUACUGCUUUGGCGGUUCGCCGGCUUCUUAGAGGGACUAUCGG